rnacentral:lncRNA from 1 species
AGCCCCCUGGGCACCCUGGGAUGUGUCUGGCCUGGGGUUCAGUAUUGGCCGUUGAUCUGGGUCCAUCCCUAAGUCAGGGAUUUCCCAUGCUCUUCCUCCAGCCUUGGGCUCUGUCCCUCUCCUCUCUCUGGAGGCUUACAAGGAUGGAGGCAUCCGGGUGGUGUGUCGAUCGGCCGGCUGGUACCCAUCACCAGAGGUGCUGUGGAAGGAUGGCAGUGGGCAGCAUCUCCCCUCAGUCUUCCAGAGUCGUUCCCCUGACGAGAGGGGCCUAUUUGAGAUCCAUGAUGUCACCGUUGUGAGCGGGAAGGGAGAUGGGAACGUGUCGUGCGUGGUGAGGAACAGCCGCCUGGAGCAGCAGCAGGCGUCGUCCCUGCACAUCUCAGCUCCCUUUUUCCACAAUGCCCGUCCCUGGAUGGCAGCUCUGGGUGUGUUCCUCCUGCUUUCAGUGGUGUCCGCUGCCCUCAGUGCUUACCUCUUCCGAAGGAAAGUGGUGCAGUCCAGAGCGCUGGAGGAACAAGCUGCACUGCUGGGGAAACGAGAUGCAGCACUGGAGGAACAAGCUACACUGUUGGGUGAGUCUCCGUGAUCUCCUUCUGGCUCGAUGUCCUCUCCCAGGUGCUCUGGUCUUGGCCCUUUCCCCCAUUGCUCACCCUCUCUGUCCCUGCAUCCUGGGAGCUUUAUAAUCUUUUCCCACUCUCCAAACAGAAGGAGUUUGGGCUCAGCCUGGGCUCUUCUGCUCCUUGAGAAACAGCUGUGGGACAAGAAGCUUACCCCCAAUGAUGAAUUGUGUUUUCUUUUUUUUUUUUCCUUUCCAGAGGAACGUGCUGUAGCACUGGGUAAGUCUCUGUGAGCUACUUCUGGCUCAGUGUCCUCUCCCAGGUGCUCUGGUCUUGGCUCUUUCCCACCUUGCACAUCCUACCCAUCCCUGCAUCCCCUGGGUUUGGUGAAACCCCGAGGGGCUGUGCCUGGAAGGGUGGGCAGCUCGGGACACCAGACUGGGGAUGGACUCUCUCCCUUGCCUAGAGUCCUUAGGGACCUGUGGUGAGGUGUGGCCAGGCUGAAGAGAGUUCUCCCUGAGAGCCAGGGGCUCUUUUCCCACUCCCCAGACAGGAAGAGUUUGGAGCUUUCCCAGCUCUGCUUAUCCUUCUUGAGCACUUAUGGGGUGAGAAGCUGUCCUCUCUGACCAAAUAUUGCUUUUGCUUUCCAGAUAAAAAGGUUGCACUGUUUGGUGAGUCUCCAUCAGCUCCAUCAUGGCUUGUUGUCCUCUCCUGGGUGCUUUGUGCUCGUCCCCUUCCCCCCCUUGCUCAUCCUCUCCAACCCUGAAUCUGCUGGGUGGAGGCAAACCCCGAGGGGACGUGCCUGGGACUGUGUUCAGCUUAGGGACACCAGUCCAGGGAUGGCCCCUUUCCCAUGCUUGAAGUCCCUGGCUACCAGCCAUGGGACAUGACCAGGCUGGAGGGAGCCACUCACAGGGUUGGGGACCUGUUCCCACACCCCAAACACAAGGAGUUUGGGAUCUGCCCAAGCUCUGCCUGUUCCUGUAGGAGCAGCCAUGGGGUUAAAAGCUGUUCCCUCUGAUCACUCAGUGCUUCUGUUUUUCCUUUCCAGAGAAUCGAGCUACAGCACUGGGUGAGUCUCCGUGAGCUCCUCCUGGCCCGGUGUCCUCUCCUGGACGCUUUGUGU